CACAUCCAGACCGGGCCCCGCAAACUCACCAGCUCUAAUACGGGCCUCAAGCCUCGCUUCUUUGUUUCUAACAAGAGAGAAACGAUGGAGUCAGGGAUGUACAGGAAAGCAAAGGAGAGGCAGCAGUUUCCGUUUCUGCUUCCGCACUUUCCACACAAACAUUCCUCUCACACACGCGCGCACCCAUCCAACAUCCCCUAUCCAAUUAAAACAAAAGUAUCCCAUUUGAAGGAGAGAUUUCAAUGUCAGCUUCUCCACACCUUUCUCUGUACGUAAAAAAGGCUGCCAGCGGAUUGUUGCGAAACUGUGAAUCUGUGUUAAAAUUACAUUUACCACUGCUGUAGGUUUGAAGAGUGGCCGGGGAGAACGAGUUGCGUAUACGUCACGUGAGGGCGUGAUGACACAACGCAAAGAGCGCCAAAGACCAUAGACUUGAUAUUUAGAUUGUGAUAGAACGUUCCUCCGGUUCUUGUAUGCGGGUUUUUUUCUCGAGGCGGCGGUGAGAGUUGCUGAUCGCCGAUAGAAAUCAAAGAAUUGGGCAAUAGUGUGUGAAGUUGCCAGUCAACAGUUACUACCUGGACAAUAGACUGGAGCAUGCACACAAAUCACAGACUUCAACAGUAAGAAUGAUGAAACCUUGAAAUACAAAGAAGAAGAAACUGUAAGAACGUAGAAUGGACCUAUUUAUGGUUAGAGCCUUCUAAAUCAGGUGGCCAGACUUCAGGAGCUGCCAGAAUGUGAGUGUUGCUGCCCCAUAUGAUGAACCACGGAACUGCAAGUGGUGGCUUCUUGGUGAAGUACCUUCAAGCCUAGACGGGCUCCACCCAGACAGGUUGGCCAAUGGUUCCACCUCCAUACUCAAAAUGAAACUGGGCCUGGAAGUAUGCAACAACUCCACACAUACCUUGCGAAUUAGAUUACCAAUGCCAGGAUGUCUGUCUUAUCAACUACUCUCCUGCUCCCCCCCCCCACCGGGCAUCAUGAAA